UACGAAGGGGGCUAGCGUUGCUCGGAAUCACUGGGCGUAAAGGGCGCGUAGGCGGCCGAUCAAGUCGGAGGUGAAAGCCCAGGGCUCAACCCUGGAAUUGCCUUCGAUACUGUCUGGCUUGAGACCGGAAGAGGUAAGUGGAACUGCGAGUGUAGAGGUGAAAUUCGUAGAUAUUCGCAAGAACACCAGUGGCGAAGGCGGCUUACUGGUCCGGUUCUGACGCUGAGGCGCGAAAGCGUGGGGAGCAAACAGG
rnacentral:rRNA from 1 species